CACGUGAAAAAGUACGACAAUCUAGCUUAAAUCAGCAUCUUAUUAUGGUUUCAAGUAAUUUGUGUAUGAUAACAUGAUUCAACACGCUCCAAUGACGCCGUGAGCAUUGAGAAUAGUUUACUGAGGUCAGAGUGAGUGUAGCAAAAUAGUUUACAAUAGGCAGCAGCCUUAAAGUCUUUUUAUAUUUAUUCAAAUUUUAUUCAUUUUCUCCUGACUUUUCAACUUUCGAAUGGAAUUUUUAUUGAAGGUAAUUAAUUUUUUAUAUUGUUUUUUUUUUCAGGGCCAGUGUAAUAAACAUUCGAUAGAACAGAAGAGCAAAAAAUCAAACUUAAUUCACAAUAUAACUGUGAUUAUUCAUUUGAAUGAGAUGCCGACUACAACUUAUUCUUAUAGACCGAAGUUUGAGAGGGUGGAGUUAUGGAGUAACAUAGGAGGCUACAUAGGAAUAUGGCUUGGAAUAUCUUUAAUCGCUUUAUGCGAUUUUUUCGAUACAAUAAUUGGCAUCCUUUUUCAUCUUUAUCAGAAGCUUCAUGUCAGAGCUAAAAGAUUAGUAAUACGAUUUUUUAAACGGUAAAUUUUCUUCGUAUGAAUAAUUGUAAACAGGCCUGAAAGCGAGACGGAAAAGAGAAAAAAUUGGUAGUAAACUAUUUC